GACGAACCGUCCAAACGUUAUUCGGAAUCACUGGGCUUAAAGGGUGCGUAGGCGGCGCGGUAAGUUGGGUGUGAAAUCCCUCGGCUCAACCGAGGAACUGCGCCCAAAACUACCGUGCUCGAGGGAGAUAGAGGUAAGCGGAACUUAGGGUGGAGCGGUGAAAUGCGUAGAUAUCAGGAGGAACACCUGUGGCGAAAGCGGCGCACUGGACCACAACUGACGCUGAGGCGCGAAAGCUAGGGGAGCAAACAGG
rnacentral:rRNA from 1 species